rnacentral:lncRNA from 1 species
AUCCGAUUCUGCUAAUGUAGAAGAGGAUGAUACGCCUGACAUAGAAAUCACGCAGCCUCCGCUUACAAGUAUUUUGCUGAAAAACUUAAGCUCUAAUGCAGAACUGUGGCCGGUUGAAGAAGCGGAAUUCGAGGAUUUGGAGCUAGACGGACUCGAGCAUUUAGCGGGAUAUAUUUGCCACAAGCUGCAGGAUGACAUUCCCAGCACGUCGUUCAGGAGCAAUGACGACCAUUCAUUCUCCUGGGCGGAUCACCUUAAUGAGGCAUGAAUCAAUGUCCGCAUUUCACACGCACUGAUCUCAGUAUUUCAGACUCCUAAAAUUAAAAUACUUGCAUGCUACGUAAGUCCCUAGUUUUAAAAAAUCAUCAAGCGUCUUUUAUACAAAUAUAAACUUAUUUAUUUGCAGGCAAGUAAUAUGAUUUAUACAAAGGCCCUUUUCAGGGCCGCCAAUUAAUUAACAAAGAGAUUAAAAUUUUAUGCUUAGAUAAAUACAUAUAUACCAAUCAACAAGAGG